GGGCCCGCACAAGCGGUGGAGCAUGUGGUUUAAUUCGAUGAUACGCGAGGAACCUUACCAGGGCUUAAAUGUACGUUGCAUGAUUUAGAGAUAGAUCUUUCUUCGGACUACGUACAAGGUGCUGCAUGGUUGUCGUCAGCUCGUGCCGUGAGGUGUCAGGUUAAGUCCUAUAACGAGCGCAACCCCUGUUGUUAGUUGCCAGCGAGUCAUGUCGGGAACUCUAACAAGACUGCCGGUGCAAACCGUGAGGAAGGUGGGGAUGACGUCAAAUCAUCACGGCCCUUACGUCCUGGGCUACACACGUGCUACAAUGGUCGGUACAGAGAGCAGCCACUACGCGAGUAGGAGCGAAUCUAUAAAACCGAUCACAGUUCGGAUCGGAGUCUGCAACUCGACUCCGUG
rnacentral:rRNA from 1 species